rnacentral:rRNA from 3 species
GUGAUUCAUGACUGGGGUGAAGUCGUAACAAGGUAACCGUAGGGGAACCUGCGGUUGGAUCACCUCCUUACCUUAAAGAAGC